ACCCCGUCAGGUCCGGGAGGAAGCAGCGGUAAGUGGAUCACCUUAUGUGCCGCAAGGGUGCCUAGUCCGAGCUAACUACUUGGGUGCCACCUGGAAGUGCCAAUUCGAAGACGGGUGCACGG
rnacentral:SRP_RNA from 1 species